GGGGGUGCAGCUCAGCAGUGGAGCGCUUGCCUAGCAAGCAUGAAGCUCUGGGUUUCAUCCCCAGCACUGUGA
rnacentral:tRNA from 1 species